GACGAACGCUUGCGGCGUGCUUAACACAUGCAAGUCGAACGGAAAGGCCCUGCUUUUGUGGGGUGCUCGAGUGGCGAACGGGUGAGUAACACGUGAGUAACCUGCCCUUGACUUUGGGAUAACUUCAGGAAACUGGGGCUAAUACCGGAUAGGAGCUCCUGCUGCAUGGUGGGGGUUGGAAAGUUUCGGCGGUUGGGGAUGGACUCGCGGCUUAUCAGCUUGUUGGUGGGGUAGUGGCUUACCAAGGCUUUGACGGGUAGCCGGCCUGAGAGGGUGACCGGCCACAUUGGGACUGAGAUACGGCCCAGACUCCUACGGGAGGCAGCAGUGGGGAAUAUUGCACAAUGGGCGGAAGCCUGAUGCAGCAACGCCGCGUGCGGGAUGACGGCCUUCGGGUUGUAAACCGCUUUCGCCUGUGACGAAGCGUGAGUGACGGUAAUGGGUAAAGAAGCACCGGCUAACUACGUGCCAGCAGCCGCGGUGAUACGUAGGGUGCGAGCGUUGUCCGGAUUUAUUGGGCGUAAAGGGCUCGUAGGUGGUUGAUCGCGUCGGAAGUGUAAUCUUGGGGCUUAACCCUGAGCGUGCUUUCGAUACGGGUUGACUUGAGGAAGGUAGGGGAGAAUGGAAUUCCUGGUGGAGCGGUGGAAUGCGCAGAUAUCAGGAGGAACACCAGUGGCGAAGGCGGUUCUCUGGGCCUUUCCUGACGCUGAGGAGCGAAAGCGUGGGGAGCGAACAGGCUUAGAUACCCUGGUAGUCCACGCUGUAAACGGUGGGUACUAGGUGUGGGGUCCAUUCCACGGGUUCCGUGCCGUGGCUAACGCUUUAAGUACCCCGCCUGGGGAGUACGGCCGCAAGGCUAAAACUCAAAGGAAUUGACGGGGCCCCGCACAAGCGGCGGAGCAUGCGGAUUAAUUCGAUGCAACGCGUAGAACCUUACCUGGGUUUGACAUGGAUCGGGAGUGCUCAGAGAUGGGUGUGCCUCUUUUAGGGUCGGUUCACAGGUGGUGCAUGGCUGUCGUCAGCUCGUGUCGUGAGAUGUUGGGUUAAGUCCCGCAACGAGCGCAACCCUUGUUCACUGUUGCCAGCACGUUAUGGUGGGGACUCAGUGGAGACCGCCGGGGUCAACUCGGAGGAAGGUGGGGAUGACGUCAAGUCAUCAUGCCCCUUAUGUCCAGGGCUUCACGCAUGCUACAAUGGCUGGUACAGAGAGUGGCGAGCCUGUGAGGGUGAGCGAAUCUCGGAAAGCCGGUCUCAGUUCGGAUUGGGGUCUGCAACUCGACCUCAUGAAGUCGGAGUCGCUAGUAAUCGCAGAUCAGCAACGCUGCGGUGAAUACGUUCCCGGG
rnacentral:rRNA from 1 species